GACGAACGCUGGCGGCGUGCUUAACACAUGCAAGUCGAGCGAUGAAGCUUCUUCGGAAGUGGAUUAGCGGCGGACGGGUGAGUAACACGUGGGCAACCUGCCUUGGAGAGGGGGAUAGCCUUCCGAAAGGAAGAUUAAUACCGCAUAACAUAGCGAGCUCGCAUGGGUUUGCUACCAAAGAUUUAUCGCUACAAGAUGGGCCCGCGUCGCAUUAGCUAGUUGGUGAGGUAACGGCUCAGCAAGGCCACGAUGCGUAGCCGACCUGAGAGGGUGAUCGGCCACAUUGGAACUAAGACACGGUACAGACUCCUACGGGAGGCAGCAGUGGGGAAUAUUGCACAAUGGGCGAAAGCCUGAUGCAGCAACGACGCGUGAGUGAUGAAGGUCUUCGGAUUGUAAAGCUCUUUGAUUAGGGACGAUAAUGACGGUACCUAAAGAACAAGCCACGGCUAACUACGUGCCAGCCGCCGCGGUAA
rnacentral:rRNA from 1 species